UACGAAGGGAGCUAGCGUUGUUCGGAAUCACUGGGCGUAAAGCGCACGUAGGCGGAUGUGUCAGUCAGGGGUGAAAUCCCGGAGCUCAACUUCGGAACUGCCUUUGAUACUGAGGAUCUCGAGUCCGGGAGAGGUGAGUGGAACUCCGAGUGUAGAGGUGAAAUGCGCAGAUAUCAGGAGGAACACCUAUUGCGAAGGCAGCUCGCUGGGACGUAACUGACGCUGAGACGCGAAAGCGUGGGGAGCAAACAGG
rnacentral:rRNA from 1 species